GAUGAACGCUGGCGGCGUGCCUAAUACAUGCAAGUCGAGCGAACAGACGAGGAGCUUGCUCCUCUGACGUUAGCGGCGGACGGGGGAGUAACACGUGGAUAACCUACCUAUAAGACUGGGAUAACUUCGGGAAACCGGAGCUAAUACCGGAUAAUAUAUUGAACCGCAUGGUUCAAUAGUGAAAGACGGUUUUGCUGUCACUUAUAGAUGGAUCCGCGCCGCAUUAGCUAGUUGGUAAGGUAACGGCUUACCAAGGGCACGAUGCGUAGCCGACCUGAGAGGGUUAUCGGCCACACUGGAACAGAGACACGGUCCAGACUCCUACGGGAGGCAGCAGUAGGGAAUCUUCCGCAAUGGGCGAAAGCCUGACGGAGCAACGCCGCGUGAGUGAUGAAGGUCUUCGGAUCGUAAAACUCUGUUAUUAGGGAAGAACAAAUGUGUAAGUAACUAUGCACGUCUUGACGGUACCUAAUCAGAAAGCCACGGCUAACUACGUG
rnacentral:rRNA from 1 species